CCAGAACCUGGCUCUCAGCCCGGUGUGUUGAUGUGGAUCAGCGGCGCUCUGCCGCAACCUGCAGUCUCACCAAGUCUGACCCGGUCCAACUCCACCACCAAGGAGGAAAACACAACAACCAGUGAGCUUGAAGACGAAAAAGGGAUGAUGGCUUGGCUCGCUCAGGGUUUGGAGAGAGUUGUUCCUCAGCCGGAUCUGAACAGGAAGGAAAGCCCACCAGCUGAGCAGCCCCC